rnacentral:misc_RNA from 1 species
GAUGAAGAACGUAGCAAAAUGCGAUAAGUAGUGUGAAUUGCAGAAUUCAGUGAAUCAUCGAAUCUUUGAACGCACAUUGCGCCCCUUGGUAUUCCAUGGGGCAUGCCUGUUCGAGCGUCAUUGACACCCUCAAGCACGGCUUGUGUGUUGGGCCCCGCCCCCCGAUCCCGGGGGGCGGGCCCGAAAGGCAGCGGCGGCACCGCGUCCGGUCCUCGAGCGUAUGGGGCUUUGUCACCCGCUCUGUAGGCCCGGCCGGCGCUUGCCGAUCAACCAAACUUUUUUCCAGGUUGACCUCGGAUCAGGUAGGGAUACCCGCUGAACUUAAGCAUAUCAAUAAGCGGAGGA